ACACUGGCCUAGAGGUUACCAUGAUCAUGAAGGCGGUUCCCCCAUGAUGAGUUCUUUUCAUUACACUACGAUUGUGCUGAUUUCUGCGAUUAUCCCUAAUGUGGAUAACUCGGGCGCGGAAUUUUUGGUAGUCGGAACUGCGUACGCGUAUAGUCUGC